rnacentral:rRNA from 1 species
CCUACGGGAGGCAGCAGUGAGGAAUAUUGGUCAAUGGACGAGAGUCUGAACCAGCCAAGUCGCGUGAAGGAUGACUGCCCUAUGGGUUGUAAACUUCUUUUAUCUGGGAAUAAAACGUUCCACGUGUGGGUUUUUGUAUGUACCAUAUGAAUAAGGAUCGGCUAACUCCGUGCCAGCAGCCGCGGUAAUACGGAGGAUCCGAGCGUUAUCCGGAUUUAUUGGGUUUAAAGGGUGCGUAGGUGGAUUGUUAAGUCAGUUGUGAAAGGUUGCGGCUCAAACGUAAAAUUGCAGUUGAAACUGGCAGUCUUGAGUAGAGUAGAGGUGGGCGGAAUUCGGGGUGUAGCGGUGAAAUGCUUAGAUAUCACGCAGAACCCCGAUUGCGAAGGCAGCAUACCGGUGCACAACUGACGCUCAGGCACGAAAGCGUGGGUAUCGAACAGGAUUAGAUACCCUUGUAGUC